UGACGAUGCUACCAUGCAGUCGAACGGUAACAGGAAACAGCUUGCUGCUUCGCUGACGAGUGGCGGACGGGUGAGUAAUGUCUGGGAAACUGCCUGAUGGAGGGGGAUAACUACUGGAAACGGUAGCUAAUACCGCAUAACGUCGCAAGACCAAAGAGGGGGACCUUCGGGCCUCUUGCCAUCGGAUGUGCCCAGAUGGGAUUAGCUAGUAGGUGGGGUAACGGCUCACCUAGGCGACGAUCCCUAGCUGGUCUGAGAGGAUGACCAGCCACACUGGAACUGAGACACGGUCCAGACUCCUACGGGAGGCAGCAGUGGGGAAUAUUGCACAAUGGGCGCAAGCCUGAUGCAGCCAUGCCGCGUGUAUGAAGAAGGCCUUCGGGUUGUAAAGUACUUUCAGCGGGGAGGAAGGGAGUAAAGUUAAUACCUUUGCUCAUUGACGUUACCCGCAGAAGAAGCACCGGCUAACUCCGUGCCAGCAGCCGCGGUAAUACGGAGGGUGCAAGCGUUAAUCGGAAUUACUGGGCGUAAAGCGCACGCAGGCGGUUUGUUAAGUCAGAUGUGAAAUCCCCGGGCUCAACCUGGGAACUGCAUCUGAUA
rnacentral:rRNA from 1 species